GUGCUCCAGGCAAAUCCGGUGCACUUAAACACUGAGGCGUGAUGACGAGGCACUACGGUGCUGAAGUGACAAAUGCCCUGCUUCCAGGAAAAGCCUCUAAGCAUCAGGUAACACGAAAUCGUACCCCAAACCGACACAGGUGGUCAGGUAGAGAAUACCAAGGCGCUUGAGAGAACUCGGGUGAAGGAACUAGGCAAAAUGGUGCCGUAACUUCGGGAGAAGGCACGCUGAUAUGUAGGUGAAGUGAUUUACUCAUGGAGCUGAAAUCAGUCGAAGAUACCAGCUGGCUGCAACUGUUUAUUAAAAACACAGCACUGUGCAAACACGAAAGUGGACGUAUACGGUGUGACGCCUGCCCGGUGCCGGAAGGUUAAUUGAUGGGGUUAUCC
rnacentral:rRNA from 1 species